rnacentral:rRNA from 1 species
GAUUGUAGUCUGCAACCCGACUACAUGAAGCUGGAAUCGCUAGUAAUCGCGGAUCAGAAUGCCGCGGUGAAUACGUUCCCGGGUCUUGUACACACCGCCCGUCACACCAGUGGGAGCCGGUAACGCCCGAAGUCAGUGACCCAACCGAGAGGAGGGAGCUGCCGAAGGCGGGACAGGUAACUGGGGUGAAGUCGUAACAAGGUAAC